rnacentral:tRNA from 1 species
GCCUAUGUAGCUCAGUUGGUAGAGCAUCUGACUGUUAAUCAGGAGGUCCUAGGUUCGAGCCCUAGCGUAGGCG